GUAUAACUCAACAUGUCUCUUAUAUGCGUGAUGGCCCACCACAACCUUAGGAUAUUUUUUUUAAUUUUUCCCAUUUCUUAUUCAUUAUAUUAUUCUUAAGCUUCUUUAUAUCUUUCCUCAAUACCCCUUAUGCGCCGAUCUCUCUAUCACCUUGAUCACUUGGGUCUCCUCUCAUCUUAUCUCUCGUUCUUCUUUUUCUCCUACCGCAAUUAAUCGCGCCGCUUCCUCCUCGUUAUUUACGACGUCGCUGCAUCCUUGUCUUACGCUGGCGUUGCCUCUAUUUAACUCAAGUUUGAGGUUUUAAAUGUCAAAUUUGACCAUAAAACCCUAGAUCUAGAGUCUCAUGGUCAAAUUUGCCCAAAUAACGCCUCAAUAAAAUUAGUCAUGAAAAGGGUUUUACAGAGGUUGGCGUAGUUUUGGUUUGUUACAGAGGUUGAUGUGGGUUGGGUUUUUACAGAGGUUGGUGUACUUUUGGUUUAUUACAGAGUGUAUUAGGGAUCCAAGAGGACUUCGUUUUGGUUGAUUCUCAGGCAAUGCUCAAAGGAAUAAUGUGCCUAAUCAACGUCCUUUUCACUCGACCAGUGAAAGGUUUAACUCAAAGGACGAGCCUUCUCUGAAGCGGCGAUUGAGUUUUGCUGUUGUUAAGGAGGAUGAGCAAUUCAUGAAACUCGCUAAGCUGAUGAUUAUGAAUGGAAAGAAUUUACCAAGGAAAUGUUGCAUUCACUUGUCGUAUCAAAGGAUUGGAAUUUUUUUUUUUUUUGACAUGAUGGAUAAGAAAAUGUUAGUUUUGGUAACUUAUAAAUUAUUUCUAUAAGUUCUCAUAUACUUGUAAAUUAUUUCCUUAAUGUCUUAUAUAUGUGUAAAUUAUUGUUCUUAUAGAUUUGUAAAUCUUACUAGAAAAUUCAAUUAUAAUAUAAGUUUAUGGAAAUUUAUCUUAAUUGUUUUAUUUUUAAUUUGCAAUUUCUUUAAUUUAU